CGGGUAGGACGUGAUGAUCGCGGGGUCGAGGCAACUCGACACCGAGGAAAGUCCGAGCUCCAGAGGGCAGAUCGCCAGGUAACGCCUGGGCGCCGUGAGGCGACGGACAGGGCAACAGAAAGCAAACCGCCGAUGACCCCGAGAGCUUGCUCAGAGGGCACAGGCAAGGGUGAAACGGUGGGGUAAGAGCCCACCGCUCCGCACGUAAGUGUCGGAGGCACGGUAACCCCCGGUCGGAGCAAGGCCAAAUAGGCGGCGAGGUGCGGCCCGCACCGCUAUAGCCGCGGGUAGGCUGCUCGAGGCGUUCGGUGACGAACGUCCCAGACAGAUGAUCAUCCGGGCCGGGUCACACCGGCACGAACAGAACUCGGCUUACGGUCUUACCCGCCCC
rnacentral:RNase_P_RNA from 1 species